GUGCUUGUUUGGCAGCACACAUACUAACAUUGGAACAAUACAGAGAAGAUUAGCAUGGCCCCUGCACAAGGAUGACGUGCAAAUUUGUAAAAAGCACUCAUAUAUA